ACCGACCUGGCUCACACCGGUUUAAACUCAGAUCAUGUAAAAUUUUAAAGGUCGAACAGACCUAAUUAUUCAGCUUCUUCACCAAUAAUAAAAUUUAAUCCAACAUCGAGGUCGCAAUCUUUCUUUUCGAUCAGAACUCUAAAGAAAAUUACGCUGUUAUCCCUAAGGUAAUUUUUUCUUNUUAUCUAAAAUUUAGGAUCAUUUUUCCAUACAUUAAUGUAUAAAUAAAAAAAAAGUUUAAUUAAUUUUUUUAUCACCCCAACAAAAUAUUCACUGACUAAACAAUUUCUUUAUUUCCAAACUUAAAAUUUAUCAGCAAAUAUAAAACUCUAUAGGGUCUUCUCGUCUUCUAUAAAAAUUUAAGCUUUUUGACUUAAAAAUAAAAUUUUAAUUAAAUUUUCCAGAGACAGACUUUUUUUCAUCAAACCUUUCAUUCAAGCUUUCAAUUAAAAAACUAAUGAUUAUGCUACCUUUGCACGGUCAGAAUACCGCGGCCAUUUAAAUGCUCAUUGGGCAGGUCARACCUAAAAUUAUUCUCUUCAAGCCAUGUUUUUAAUAAACA
rnacentral:rRNA from 1 species